rnacentral:rRNA from 1 species
CAGCAAUGCCGCGUGUGUGAAGAAGGCCUUCGGGUUGUAAAGCACUUUAGCCUGGAAAGAAAACGCUUUGGCUAACACCCAAAGUCUUGACGGUACCAGGAGAAUAAGCACCGGCUAACUCUGUGCCAGCAGCCGCGGUAAUACAGAGGGUGCAAGCGUUAAUCGGAUUUACUGGGCGUAAAGCGUGUGUAGGUGGUGAUUUAAGUCGGAUGUGAAAGCCCCGGGCUCAACCUGGGAACUGCAUUCGAUACUGGAUUGCUAGAGUACGGUAGAGGGAGGCGGAACUCCGGGUGUAGCGGUGAAAUGCGUAGAUAUCCGGAAGAACACCGAUGGCGAAGGCAACCUCCUGGGCCUGUACUGACACUGAGACACGAAAGCGUGGGGAGCAAACAGGAUUAGAUACCCUGGUAA